GACGAACGCUGGCGGCGUGCUUAACACAUGCAAGUCGAACGGAAAGGCCCUGCUUUUGUGGGGUGCUCGAGUGGCGAACGGGUGAGUAACACGUGAGUAACCUGCCCUUGACUUUGGGAUAACUUCAGGAAACUGGGGCUAAUACCGGAUAGGAGCUCCUGCUGCAUGGUGGGGGUUGGAAAGUUUCGGCGGUUGGGGAUGGACUCGCGGCUUAUCAGCUUGUUGGUGGGGUAGUGGCUUACCAAGGCUUUGACGGGUAGCCGGCCUGAGAGGGUGACCGGCGAGAUGGGGACUGUGAUGCGGCCCAGAAUCCUACGGGGGGCAGCAGGGGGGAAGAGUGCACGAUGGGCAGAAGUCUGAUGCAGCAACGCCGCGGGCGGGAUGACGGCAUUGGGGUUGUAAACCGCAUUAGCCGGUGACGGAGUGUGAGUGACGGUAAUGGGUAAAGGAGCACCGGCUAACUACGUG
rnacentral:rRNA from 1 species